AAGAUUUUAGCUUAAUGAAAGUGCCUGAAUUGCAGUUAGGUGAUGCAGAUUAUAAUUUUGCAGGUCUUC
rnacentral:tRNA from 1 species